CUGCAGCUGGGAGUCGGUGAGCUUGCAGCCACUGGUCUGUGUGGCGUCUGAACAGACGACGGGAGUCGCCCACUCGAACAAAUGGACACAUCCCUGCCUCUUCAGCAUUUGCGGAGAGCCCUGGACAAAGACAUGAAGGAGGUCCAUCAUCAGGAUCCAUACAGACAGAAGCUCCAGGGGGGCAGGUGACCCCGGGGAUUGGGUUCAGAGGCUGACAGAUGUUGAUGUAGAAGUCUGGAGUUUCAUCACCUUGGUCCACUGCCUCAUCUGGAAUGACACAAUCAAAGGAAAGACGGAUGAUGCUGCUCCUGUUGCGGAUGCCAUCUGGACAGACCUGGCCACUGCUGUACUGCAGCUUCAGGACACCUCUGUCCCACACGGGACCGGACUCCACCUGUCCCAGACUCACAUAGUCAUCCCCAAACUUCAUACAGGACGCAGCACUGGAGGGACACUUCCAUGAGCCUGUCAUGGAUGAGUGCUCCACCUCCCAGUUGCGAGAGUCCAUCGCCAGAGGGGAGAGGUCGUACGAGUGGCCCUGACCAUCACUAAGGACAGAGAACAGGGCGGAAGCACAGAUGGUGAAAAUUUAGCGGCAGGUGUGUUCAUGUUCUGUGCAGUCUUCUGAAAGGAGCAGCUGGUGGUUUUGACCGGAAUACAGGCCAGAGCGGUGGGCCAGCUGAACAGGUAGGUACACUCCUCAGUCUCCUUGAUAAACUCUGGCACUCCCUGAGCAAG